rnacentral:rRNA from 1 species
CCUACGGGCGGCAGCAGUGGGGAAUAUUGCGCAAUGGGCGAAAGCCUGACGCAGCGACGCCGCGUGAGGGAUGAAGGUCUUCGGAUCGUAAACCUCUGUCAGCAGGGAAGAACGGUCACUGUGCUAAUCAGCAGUGAAUUGACGGUACCUGCAAAGGAAGCACCGGCUAACUCCGUGCCAGCAGCCGCGGUAAUACGGAGGGUGCGAGCGUUAAUCGGAAUUACUGGGCGUAAAGCGCUCGUAGGCGGUAUGUCAAGUCAAGGGUGAAAUCCCCGCGCUCAACGUGGGAACUGCCUUUGAAACUGGCCAACUUGAGAUUUUGAGAGGAUAGUGGAAUUCCCAGUGUAGGGGUGAAAUCCGUAGAUAUCUUGAAGAACAUCAGUGGCGAAGGCGACUAUCUGGCACAUAACUGACGCUGAGGAGCGAAAGCGUGGGUAGCAAACAGGAUUAGAUACCCCAGUAGUC